CGCCUUUCAUAUCUGUAACGUCUCACCAAUCAUUUAAUUCGUUCUUUAUUUUGAGUUUACCCUUAAUUAAUCCACUCCGCUCACUUAAAGAUUUCUAUCUACCUCUUCGUUUCCACUGUAACCGCUUGGAGCUCCAGCUAUUAAUAUCGGACCUUCCUAGCAUGCACAGUCCAAAUCAAACGAUAUCCAGAAACAUACAAUUUCCCAGCAGCAACAGAUUCCGGUGGCAAAUUCAUACACUCUCCUUGCCGAUUUGAGAGCCGGCCGAUGGUGAGAGACAAAGAAUAUCAAAACUGAUUCCUUUGUUAGCAUAUCAUAUGAAAAAUGAGGAAUUUAAUUACAUGACACGGCAUACAAAUAAGGCAUUAUUGAAGUGGGGACAAUCAUUGCAAGCUACACGAUGAAGCGAAAAGCAAGCCCUUUGAAUAGGAGAUGCGCAUGAUAUGUGAGGAGUCAAAUGGGAGGACGAAUGGUGGUUAAAGAAAUGAUGUGCUAAAGUUCCCGUAAACCUUAAAAUUGAUAUUAUAGCCAAGAUAUCUCACUUUCUUCUAUUAUUAUUAUAUGAGGCUGCUAUUGUUAUCGUAUUGUCUGAUUGUUGUUUGAAAUCAGUUGUGUACAAUGUUUAGUUA